GACGAACGCUGGCGGCGUGCUUAACACAUGCAAGUCGAACGGAAAGGCCCUGCUUUUGUGGGGUGCUCGAGUGGCGAACGGGUGAGUAACACGUGAGUAACCUGCCCUUGACUUUGGGAUAACUUCAGGAAACUGGGGCUAAUACUGGAUAGGAGCUCCUGCUGCAUGGUGGGGUUUGGAAAGUUUCGGCGGUUGGGGAUGGACUAGCGGCUUAUCAGCUUGUUGGUGGGGUAGUGGCUUACCAAGGCUUUGACGGGUAGCCGGCCUGAGAGGGUGACCGGCCAAAUUGGGACUGAGAUACGGCCCAGACUCCUACGGGAGGAAGCAGUGGGGAAUAUUGCACAAUGGGCGGAAGCCUGAUGCAGCAACGCCGCGUGCGGGAUGACGGCCUUCGGGUUGUAAACCGCUUUCGCCUGUGACGAAGCGUGAGUGACGGUAAUGGGUAAAGAAGCACCGGCUAACUACGUG
rnacentral:rRNA from 1 species